rnacentral:rRNA from 1 species
AUGCACGCCUCCGCCCGCUUGCUCCGCCGCCUAUCCUCUUCCUCCUCCGCCCGCUCGCUCCGCCGCCUCCCUUGCCACCCAUCACCCUCGCCGCCUCCACAUCCAUCUCAUCUGCCGCCCCUUCGAACCGUGACCCGCGCCCUCCUCCCCCACCUCGCUGCCCCCCGCUUCUCCACCAUCUCUUGCGCAUCCACACCCUCUCUCCGCCUAGGUGAAUGCGGCGCUCCCGGAACCCCGGCGAUACCGUUGGCGGAGAAUUCCGAGGGGGAGGAGGAGGCGGAGUCUGUGGCGGCUCGGCAUGACACCGACGCGUUCGCGGCGGUGGAGCUCGCGCUGGACUCGGUGGUGAAGGUGUUCACGGUGUCAAGUGGCCCUAACUACUUCCUGCCGUGGCAGAACAAGGCCCAGCGCGAGAGCAUGGGCUCCGGCUUUGUAAUUUCUGGAAAAAGGAUCGUCACGAAUGCUCAUGUGGUAGCUGAUCAUACUUUUGUUCUUGUGAGGAAGCAUGGAUCACCUACAAAGUACAAGGCGGAAGUUCAGGCUAUUGGCCAUGAGUGUGAUUUGGCUCUUCUUACAGUUGAGAGUGAGGAGUUUUGGGAGGGGAUGAACAGCUUGGAUCUUGGAGACAUUCCAUUUUUGCAGGAAGCUGUUGCCGUGGUUGGCUACCCUCAGGGUGGAGACAAUAUCUCUGUCACCAAGGGGGUUGUUUCUAGAGUGGAGCCAACACAGUAUGCCCAUGGUGCGACUCAGCUCAUGGCUAUACAAAUAGAUGCAGCUAUUAAUCCAGGCAAUAGUGGAGGGCCUGCAAUCAUGGGUGAUAAAGUGGCUGGAGUUGCUUUCCAAAAUCUGUCAGGAGCAGAAAACAUUGGGUAUAUUAUACCUGUGCCUGUAAUUAAGCGUUUUAUUUCUGGUGUGGAAGAGAGUGGCAAAUAUUCUGGGUUUUGUUCUCUUGGGAUAUCUUGCCAGGCCACUGAGAACAUCCAAAUAAGAGAGUGCUUUGGUAUGCGGCCUGAAAUGACUGGAGUGUUGGUCAGUAGAAUAAAUCCUCUGUCUGAUGCUUACAAAAUUUUGAGGAAAGACGAUAUCCUUCUCGAGUUUGACGGCGUGCCUAUUGCGAAUGAUGGGACAGUUCCAUUUCGAAAUAGAGAGAGAAUCACCUUUGAUCAUCUUGUGUCCAUGAAGAAGCCUGAAGAAACAGCUGUUAUCAAAGUACUAAGAGAUGGCAAAGAGCAUGAAUUGAAUGUGACACUUAGACCUUUGCAACCUUUGGUUCCUGUACAUCAAUUCGAUAAACUGCCCAGCUACUACAUCUUUGCUGGUUUUGUUUUUAUCCCGCUGACCCAGCCUUAUCUCCAUGAAUUUGGGGAGGACUGGUACAACGCUUCGCCACGCCGACUGUGUGAACGGGCACUGAGAGAGCUUCCGAAGAAGGCUGGCCAACAGUUAGUAAUAUUAUCUCAGGUCCUAAUGGAUGAUAUUAAUGUUGGUUAUGAAAGGCUGGCUGAACUCCAGGUAAAGAAGGUGAAUGGUGUUGAGGUUGAGAAUUUGAAGCAUUUGUGCAGUAUCGUGGAGAACUGCACUGAAGAAAACUUGAGAAUUGAUUUGGACGAUGAGCGGGUGAUCGUCCUGAAAUUUCAGAACGCGAGGCUUGCCACGUCUCGGAUCCUCAAGCGGCACAGGAUUCCAUCAGCCAUGUCGAGUGACCUUGUCGAUGAACAAGCGAGCAAAGAGACAAAUGAGGUAGGCCGAGGACUGCUGGAGUCACCCAUGAGCCCAUCGGUUGCGGCGGGCUCCAGUUUGGCUGAUUUAGUUUUGACAGAAGGAAGAGGAGGUCUUCAGCAAAUAAGAAGAACCCAAGUUCUUCACCCUGAGUUGUAA